CUUCCUUUGUGAAUCAUUAUUAUGGCGAUUGAAUUUCCACGCAGGAAGAAAUAGUUCCCCAGAUUUUGAUAACUUUUUAGGUCAAAGAACAUACAUUUUGAAGGCAUUGUAAUGUCUAUGCAAUGGCAAUGUUUUACCCACCUAGAAUAUCAUUCUUUCUAAAGAUUCGUAAAAAUGUGCAGUUUUCAAACAAGUCAGUGAGUCGAAGUUAGUCACGGUCGAGGCCACUUGUGACAGUUCAAAUUAUAUCAUGAAUAUGUGGAAAUUCUAGAUAUUCAACACCGCACCGGAAAACAAAGAAAGAAUAUCUGUAUGCUAAGAGUAACUGUGUAAUUACCAGUGAAAUGGAGCCUCCGGCAGAAAUUGAAGAUACCGGAUAUGGAUGGGAUACAUGUAUGUUACAUUUUCCAGAUGCUUCAAAAUCUUGCGCACGAACUUAGUGAUGAUUUAUGUUCAAAGUUUCUAUUUCAUAAUUACUUUGUGAUUCAGUGUGUGGAGGCGACGGUUUAUCUAGAAUGUACAAGAACUUGUCUUUUGGGUAGCAGCUGUGCCACAGACUGAACAGAUCUAGAUUGGCAUGGUUAGGCAAAAGCAGAAAAGCCAGCAUCACUAACACUGGAGCAGCUCUUUUCUCUUUGGACAUGGAGACAUGACAUACUGGACAUUUUGUGGCCGCUAAUUUGCUUAUAAACACGGAUUUUCUGUACGAGAUGCAUGUGAUAGAAGUGAUAUGCCAAUUUUUUUAUUUGCAUCGAGAUCUCAAUCAGCCGUCAUUGGCACCAGAACAGUCUUGGAUCAGUUUAGAUGUUAUUACUGGAGUCUGUUAUUGCUGCAGUUUCGUGGACCAGUUUAUAUGUUAUUACUGGAGUCGUGGACCAAGUUAAAUGUUAUUACUGCAGUUUCUUGGACCAGUUUAGAUGUUAUUACUUAAGUCGUGGACCAAAUUAGAUGUUAAUACUGCAGUUUCGUUGACCAGUUUAGAUGUUAUUACUUAAGUCGUGGACCAAUUUAGAUGUUAAUACUGCAGUUUCGUGGACCAGUUUAGAUGUUAUUACUGAUGUCGUGGACCAAUUUAGAUGUUAAUACUGCAGUUUCGUGGACCAGUUUAGAUGUUAUUACUUAAGUCGUGGACCAAUUUAGAUGUUAAUACUGCAGUUUCGUGGACCAGUUUAGAUGUUAUUACUGAUGUCGUGGACCAAUUUAGAUGUUAAUACUGCAAUUUCGUUGACCAGUUUAGAUGUUAUUACUUAAGUCGUGGACCAAUUUAGAUGUUAAUACUGCAGUUUCGUUGACCAGUUUAGAUGUUAUUACUUAAGUCGUGGACCAAUUUAGAUGUUAAUACUGCAGUUUCGUGGACCAGUUUAGAUGUUAUUACUUAAGUCGUGGACCAAUUUAGAUGUUAAUACUGCAGUUUCGUGGACCAGUUUAGAUGUUAUUACUGAUGUCGUGGAGCAAGUUAAAUGUUAUUACUGCAGUUUCGUGGAUCAGUUUAGAUGUUAUUACUGUAGUUUCGAUUCCACUUUUCCUAAAUUACACCCUAACAAAGCACAAUGACAGCACUUAAAAAGAAAAACAGAAAGCCUACUAAAAUAAAUACAAAAAAAAAAUUCCCCGCCAAAUUAUUCCAGCAGAAAUUUAUUCUCAAAACAAAUUCAUAACAUAAAUUUAAAAACCAGGAGCUAGGAAAGCAGAAGUAUCUGAAUGUUGAAUGUUUAGAUAAAUAGAUUAUAUAGUAAAUAGAUUAUAAUAGUAAAUAGAUUUGUGUCUCAAAGAUAAGAGACAUUUAUUUGCUAGAUUUUAAAAGGAAGAUGCACUAAGAUGUGGUUACAGGUAAAGUAUGAUGGAAAGAGGCAUAAUUCUGUAAAAUAAAAAGAGUGAUGGGAAUGGAUUUGACAUAUGCAGAUGUUGAAAACGAAUAUAUAUUUAUUGAGUU